CCUUCUGAGCCUCCAGUACCAUGUGUCAGGACCACAUGAACUGGGCAUUGUGGGCCUGACAUGGUGCUGGGGCCUCAGGGGUC
rfam:Callithrix jacchus chromosome 10, whole genome shotgun sequence